rnacentral:pre_miRNA from 1 species
CAGGAAUGUAAGAACAGAGGGAGGUAGAGACAUUCCAGUGGUGUGUCAAUAGUGGUGUGUCAAUGUCUCUACCUCCCUCUGUUCUUACCUGUUCUUA